rnacentral:rRNA from 1 species
UACAUAGGGUGCGAGCGUUGUCCGGAAUUAUUGGGCGUAAAGAGCUCGUAGGCGGCCUGUCGCGUCGGAUGUGAAAGCCCGGGGCUUAACCCCGGGUCUGCAUUCGAUACGGGCAGGCUAGAGUGUGGUAGGGGAGAUCGGAAUUCCUGGUGUAGCGGUGAAAUGCGCAGAUAUCAGGAGGAACACCGGUGGCGAAGGCGGAUCUCUGGGCCAUUACUGACGCUGAGGAGCGAAAGCGUGGGGAGCGAACAGG